ensembl:rRNA 5S_rRNA 5S ribosomal RNA
GGCCACAGCCAUAACACUCUGCAGCCCAAGAGCAGUUAUCACUCAAGCUAAGCAGGGCUGAGCCUGGUUAGUUACCUUGAUGGGAGACCACAUAGGAAAGCUAGGUUGAUGUUGGAA